rnacentral:rRNA from 1 species
AUGAAGUCAUCGCCACCCAUGCCGGCUGCUUCCGGCGACCUCCGGCGCAGAGCGGCAUGCCCCAAGCUGCCCACGGUCCGUGCCUCCCUCCCCUCCAUCCAGACUCUCUGCUCCCGGCCUCUACAGCCCGCUCGCAACCACACACCCAUGGCUAGGGUUCGGGCAUGGCUUCGCCGGCGCGUCUCCGAUGUUGGGGCACGCCAUGGGAGUUCCCCAUCCACCACGGUCGCCGCCGUCAAGGAAUUCUUCAAGGAGAUGUCAAGGACACCAUGGACAUGCAGCUCCUCAAGCGGAGGAUCACAGAUUCACAGAUGUAAGGAUCGGGAGAAUUGGGCCUCACAUUAUUUUUUCCAGAAUUGGGUGUUGGUACUCUAUAAACUGAAUUGA